UAGCAUCACAAGUAUUAGAGGCA
rnacentral:piRNA from 1 species